AGUUGUUAGCCGAGAAAGGCAGGCGUCAAGAAAGAUGGCACAAAAUACAAAUAAGUUACCAAUUAUCAUAUUUAUUGAGCAUUUGAUGGAGCAGCGCUCGUUGUGGCGCCAAGACCCGCUCUAUGGCUUUGUGGCCUGCCCGAUAAAAAUGCAGUGUGGAAGCCCAAAUUACUUUAUCUGGGAGUGCACCAUUCCGGGCGAAGACAAUACGCCAUGGAGACAUGCUCGAUACCAGCUCACACUGACAUUUAUCACCCAAAAAUUUCUGCCCAUGGUGCGAUUUCACGUGCCGCUGUUUCACCCCAACGUCGAUCAGUUGGGCUACAUGAAUUAUGAGUGGAAGGACGUGGUGGGAGAGCCUCACAACAUCAAGGAUACUCUUACGACCAUACAGCGCAUACUCAGCCGACCUGACUUAGAUGACGAUAGCCAUUUGGAAGCCCGUGAUAUGUUCAUAUCUAAACCUGAUUCGUAUUAUUUCCAGGCGCGUCUGCAGGCUCUCAAGAUUUUAGAGGAUGAAGAGUCUCUAUACUAGCCGCUCCCCCUGGCAAAGAAUACACCCACGCAGGAGAACGAAUGAUCUUGGAUGACAAGAAUGAUUCAGAACUCCGCUGCUGUUUUCCCCUUAAUAUUUAUGCAGAAUAUAUUCACACAUACAUAUGUACUUAUUUUACACUCGCUGUGGCACCUACUUUGGUGGAAAAACAAGAAGGAUUUUGGAAUCCUCUGCUCUUCGUACUGGUUGGGCAACAAUUAUAGAAAAACUAAACACACAUGUACACAAUUCAUGAUGCUCCAU